GGUAGGAGAAAUGCAGAUGGAGGGACGUGUAGGUUUAGAAAAAGAAAAAGAAAAUGAAUUGGACGUAAGACCUAAAAAACUUCAAGGGGAAAAAAAGCCUAUUUUGCCUUUAGAUUGUUAUAGACAAGAACAGACAGCAUUGGAAAAAAUAAAAACACAGUAUGAGAGAAAAUCAGAAUGGGAGGAAGAAUCAUUUGACCAGUCAUGGAAGAGAGAAGAGGAUAUAGAAGCACAAACACAGGUGAUAGAAACAAAAAUAGGUGAAAAAAUUAAAGAAACUGAGAAAAUAAUACAAGAUACAGAUAAAUUGAUUAGAACUAGGAGUAGAUUAUUAAAGUGUAGGGAAAGAGUUAGUGAAGAGGAGGAGUUAGCAUUUGAUGAGGAAAGAUGGUCACAAGGUAGGGAGAAGGGCACACUUAGAUCACAGGCAAAACAACUUCCAGUUCUAAUUAAAGGUACGCAGGGGCAGUACGUGCCAUGGGCAACUCAGGACCUUGAGGGGCUGAUUGCUCGCCUCCCCGACGUCCAUGAGGGGGCUGGAAAAUGGAUCAAAACAUCUGAAGAAGAAACAAAGGGCAAAUUGCUGGCUGUGGGGGACAUUAAAGCCCUUUUAGCAAAAAUCCUAGGAGGAACAAAGUUGGAAGAAGUCCUCCAAGCAUCAGACCUGGAGAGAGCUGUAAAUUCCUAUUAUAUGGAUGGGACUGUAUUUGAUGCAUACCGCCCCGCAGUGUGGCAAGCAUUGCGAGCAGAAUACCCAACCAGAGUGGACCCUAAAGCAUUAAAGGGAGAUCAACUAGAGGAAACAGAAAGCCCAAACACCUACAUACAAAGACAACUAAAAAGAUGGAAACAAGAGACUGAAGGGAAUCCAGAAGGAGACCCACUAAUGUCUACAUUGUUCAGAAAUGCCAUUAUUGAUACCAUGCCGCAACCAGUAAAAAGCAAGCUGGAAGAUGUGGUUGGUCUAAACUCCAAAUCGCAUAAGGAGUUUUGUGACCAUAUAACGCAUGCAGGGGAACAAUACCAAAAAAAUUAACAGAAGAAAAAAAAAUCAGGAAAAAGAACUGCAGAAAAAACUAACUCAACUGUAACUUGAAGAAUUAAUCAACAAACAUAAGAAAAAGAUUCAAGCAACAGUAAAGAAAGAAGAAGUGGAACAAAUGACAAUAAUAAAUCCUGGAACUGCUACACUGUCAACAGCCAAAUGACUUCACCACUAGUAGCUCAAACGAUCCCACCUGCUAGAAUGCCUCCAAAUACAUAUCAGACCCCAACACCUAUUAUCCACAUUAAUGCUCAACAACCAGGAAUGAUGCAAAGGAAAAUGGUUAGAGAAAACCAAACAGAUAAAGAAC
ensembl:lncRNA